AUUGAACGCUGGCGGCAUGCCUAACACAUGCAAGUCGAACGGGGGCAGCGAUGCUCUAGUGGCGGACGGGUGAGGAAUGCGUAGGAAUCGGCCCACGAGUGGGGGACAACCUGGGGAAACUCAGGCUAAUACCGCAUGAGCUCGGGAGAGGAAAGCGGGGGAUCUUCGGACCUCGCGCUGGUGGACGAGCCUACCUCCGAUUAGCUGGUUGGUGGGGUAACGGCCCACCAAGGCGACGAUCGGUAGCGGGUCUGAGAGGACGACCCGCCACACUGGGACUGAGACACGGCCCAGACUCCUACGGGAGGCAGCAGUGGGGAAUAUUGGACAAUGGGCGCAAGCCUGAUCCAGCAAUGCCGCGUGGGUGAAGACGGCCCGCGGGUUGUAAAGCCCUUUAGGCGGGGAGGAACGACGGGACGCUAAUGUCGUUUCGAAGUGACGUUACCCGCGGAAUAAGCACCGGCUAACUCCGUGCCAGCAGCCGCGGUAAUACGGAGGGUGCGAGCGUUAGUCGGAAUUACUGGGCGUAAAGCGUGCGUAGGCGGAUGGGUCAGUCAGCCGUGAAAGCCCCGGGCUUAACCUGGGAACGGCGGUUGAGACGGCUCGUCUGGAGUGGGCUAGAGGAUCGUGGAAUU
rnacentral:rRNA from 1 species